rnacentral:rRNA from 1 species
UAGUCCACGCUGUAAACGAUGGAUACUAGGUGUAGCAGGCUUCGACCCCUGCUGUGCCGAAGCUAACGCAUUAAGUAUCCCGCCUGGGGAGUACGAUCGCAAGAUUGAAACUCAAAGGAAUUGACGGGGGCCCGCACAAGCGGUGGAGGAUGUGGUUUAAUUCGACGCAACGCGAAGAACCUUACCAAGAUUUGACAUCCAGAGAAUUUUCUAGAAAUAGUAAAGUGCCGGAAACGGAACUCUGAGACAGGUGGUGCAUGGCUGUCGUCAGCUCGUGUCGUGAGAUGUUGGGUUAAGUCCCGCAACGAGCGCAACCCUCGGUGUUAGUUACCAUCAAGUAAAGUUGGGGACUCUAGCACGACCGCCGGUGCUAAACCGGAGGAAGGUGAGGACGACGUCAAGUCAUCAUGCCCCUUAUAUCUUGGGGCUACACACGUCCUACAAUGGCGUAGACAAAGGGGCAGCAAGACCGCGA